UGCCUCGCGAGCAUAGCUGAGAAGUACAUCAGGGAAUCUCUGUCGUUUCCCAACCCAGAUUUCAAUGAUGUCAUGCUUGCCCCGGCUUCAUACUCCCGGGAGGCGGUUCUGAUCCCCAGACCGUCAGUUUUGACUGAAAACAUGGGAAUAUUUACCAACUUGCAAAAGUUAUGUCAACUGACGGGCUUCAAAAAACAAAACACGAAUAUUCGUGUGGCUGGCAAGCUGCCAAAUAUCGUCCAUAAAGUGCGGGCCCUCAGCUCCAUGGUCCAGUCUUUUUGCUGCACCUUCAGCUUUAAGACAAUAUGAGCUUCUGGAAGAAAGGCCCAACAAUGAGCUGU